GUGUCAGCAGCCGCGGUAAUACGAAAGGACCAAGCGUUACUCGGAAUCACUGGGCGUAAAGCGCGCGUAGGUGGCCUUGUAUGUCGAUUGUGAAAGCCCCGGGCUCAACCUGGGAACUGCAGUCGAAACUGCAAGGCUUGAAUGUUGGAGAGGUUGGGGGAAUACCUAGUGGAGAAGUGAAAUUCGUAGAGAUUAGGUGGAACACCAGAGGCGAAGGCGCCUGACUGGCCAAACAUUGACGCUAAGGCGCGAAAGCGUGGGUAGCAAACAGGAUUAGAUACCCGCGUAGUCC
rnacentral:rRNA from 1 species